UCCUACGGGAGGCAGCAGUGGGGAAUAUUGCACAAUGGGCGCAAGCCUGAUGCAGCCAUGCCGCGUGUAUGAAGAAGGCCUUCGGGUUGUAAAGUACUUUCAGCAGUGAGGAAGGCGGGUACGUUAAUAGCGUGCUCGUUUGACGUUAGCUGCAGAAGAAGCACCGGCUAACUCCGUGCCAGCAGCCGCGGUAAUACGGAGGGUGCGAGCGUUAAUCGGAAUUACUGGGCGUAAAGCGCAUGCAGGUGGUUUGUUAAGUCAGAUGUGAAAGCCCGGGGCUCAACCUCGGAAUUGCAUUUGAAACUGGCAGACUAGAGUACUGUAGAGGGGGUAGAAUUUCAGGUGUAGCGGUGAAAUGCGUAGAGAUCUGAAGGAAUACCGGUGGCGAAGGCGGCCCCCUGGACAGAUACUGACACUCAGAUGCGAAAGCGUGGGGAGCAAACAGGAUUAGAUACCCUGGUAG
rnacentral:rRNA from 1 species